UACGGGGGGGGCAAGCGUUGUUCGGAAUUACUGGGCGUAAAGGGCUCGUAGGCGGCCAACUAAGUCAAACGUGAAAUCCCUCGGCUUAACCGGGGAACUGCGCUUGAUACUGGAUGGCUUGAGAUUGGGAGAGGGAUGCGGAAUUCCAGGUGUAGCGGUGAAAUGCGUAGAUAUCUGGAGGAACACCGGUGGCGAAGGCGGCAUCCUGGACCGGCAUUGACGCUGAUGAGCGAAAGCUAGGGGAGCAAACGGG
rnacentral:rRNA from 1 species